CGCUACUCACUAAGUAUCUUCCCUUCGCGUGCAGCAACUUUUUUUUUUUGACAAACUAUGUGUUUACUAACAAGGACUGGCCGUUUGGGAGCAACAUGAAGCCGGAGUUGGAGCUGCUCUGCGUAAGGCCGACUCUCUCCGGCUGCAGCAGCUGGAGCAGUCUGCGCAGAACCGCCCUCCGGAGGAGGAUGUAGACCCACGGAUCCAUGAUCUGGUUCCAGCUCGCCAAGCGCAGAGCCAAGAGCAGCAGCUUCUCACACUGGCGCCUCGGCCUUCUGAUUCCUUCAUAAAACCUGCUAACGGAUAUGAGGAUGUAAAUCUGUGAAACGAAGAGGGAAGACGGUCAAACGGUCUAGAAAAUAAGAAAGUGCAAAUAACGCACAACGCCAGACUGUGAAAAUGUUGCACUCACAAGAAAAGGACUCCAACAAAGACAGGAGACCACUGUUAUCGCGGCCAGCUGUGUCAUCAUCUCCACAUCCAGGGAGCGCAGAGAGGAAGAUGAGAAGGACCCGUGUCUCCGAGUGACGCUUGACUUAAC